AAUUUUUACCUAUAUUUGUUGUGGUUCACGAAAUUAACUCAAUGUUAGUGAAACAUUAACUCAAGCUGAAGGUUGACAGAUGACGUCACGUCGUGCUUUUAAAAAAAUGUUUUACACCGUGUGAAUGUGAAUGACUGUUACAAGCACGUUAAAAGUGGAGCAUCUUUCUUCCUCAGUCAGUCGAACAUCUCCGACAGAACUGAGGUCAGCAUGUGAGGAUUCAUGAAGAUUGAACACGGUGGUUUGCAGGCUGUGUACCAUGGGGAAAAGUUCUCGGCUGCUAAAAAGCGCUUGGUUUUAUUGACCAGGAUGAAACAAUCAAAACGUGCAAUGGAAUUGACUGACAUGAGCUUUUUGUCUGCUGAGGAAAGGGCAGCCAUCCGUCAAGUGCUCCUGAGAGAUGAAGAUUUAAAACGACUGGAGAGGGGAAGACUCAGAGGCAUCAUCUGCUCCAAGAGUGGUUGGAAGAAAAGAAAAACUACGAGCAGAACUCAAUUGCCCUGACCCACAAUGCAGUUCAUCAGAAGCACAACCCAAAGAGCUCUCUGAUGACUGAAAAAUAUCUGUUUUUCCCUUCUUAAGUGCAGUUCAAGACACUAAACCUGAAAGAGGCUCCACAAAACAUGCAACAAAUCCAGAGCCAAGGCGAAAAAUUCACUUCCUCCAGCACUACAGAGAGAGCAACUGUUUGAAGAGAAAUGGGACAAAGCUAUGACAAGAAAGUAGAUUAUAUGGAUUCGAUGGAUGAGGAAAUUCAAAUAUGGAAAAGAAUGUUAAUCCAAACAGUUGGGUCGAGGGAGAGCUUCCUCUGAGGUCCUUCAUGACCCCGAGGAAAUGACUCUCCUGAGUCUCAGAUGUUUAGUUGCAAAAGAAAAACAGUUGAUGGUUCCCAAAACAAACCAAGCAUAUUCUAUUACCAACUCAUUUUCUUCUUUCAGGCAUUCUCUUAACAAAAAAGGAUAUUUUCUGCAACAAUACAAAGAGUAUAUUAAAUAAUAUGUUGAGAACUUAGUUUGAACAUCAGAUAUGAAUAUUAACCAUUGACUGUAUACAGUAUAUGGAAUAGUCAAUCGUGCUUAAUCAUAUUAAA